GAUGAGUGAGCAGGAGGUCACUUUCUCAGCUGUGAGAUUCCAUAAGUCUUCAGGGUUGCAGAACCGGGUGAGGCUUGAGGAGACAGGGAAGCCUCGAAAAGCUGGCCUCAGAGUUUUUCAGAAUAGUUAACAAAAACAUGAACUGCAGGAAACUCUAAACUGCCAAGAUAAGUGCAGCACCACCACGCAAAGUGACAUCAACUUGAAGGAUGAACUGCUGAGAAAUAAGUCUAUAGAGUGUAGGCCAGGCACUGAUCUUCUGGAAUCCCUCAACAAGGAACAGAACAGAUGGUACCGUGAAACCAAGACUUUUACAGAUUCCUCACAGCACACAGGUGUUAACAAAAGACCCAUCUCCAAGGCAGAGGGGAAGGGCAGAGGUUUUGAAAAAUAUUGGUUCUGUUAUGGUAUAAAAUGUUAUUAUUUCGUCAUGGACAGAAAAACGUGGAGUGGAUGUAAACAGACCUGCCAGAUUUCCAGCUUAUCCCUUCUGAAGAUAGACGAUGAGGAUGAACUGAAGUUCCUUCAGAACCUGGCUCCUUCAGGCAUUUCCUGGAUUGGAUUUUCAUAUGACAAUAAGAGAAAAGAUUGGGUAUGGAUUGACAAUGGCCCAUCUAAACUUGCCUUGAACACAACGAAAUAUAAUAUAAGAGAUGGAUUAUGUAUGUCGUUAUCUAAAACAAGACUAGACAAUGGGGACUGUGGUAAAUCAUACAUCUGUAUUUGUGGUAAGAGACUGGAUAAAUUCCCUCAUUGACUCUCCAAUGAG
rnacentral:lncRNA from 1 species